rnacentral:rRNA from 1 species
GUAGGGUGCAAGCGUUAAUCGGAAUUACUGGGCGUAAAGCGUGCGCAGGCGGCUUUGCAAGACAGAUGUGAAAUCCCCGGGCUUAACCUGGGAACUGCAUUUGUGACUGCAUGGCUGGAGUGCGGCAGAGGGGGAUGGAGUUCCGCGUGUAGCAGUGAAAUGCGUAGAUAUGCGGAGGAACACCGAUGGCGAAGGCAAUCCCCUGGGCCUGCACUGACGCUCAUGCACGAAAGCGUGGGGAGCAAACAGGAUUAGAUACCCUGGUAGUCCACGCCCUAAACGAUGUCAACUGGUUGUUGGACGGCUUGCUGUUCAGUAACGAAGCUAACGCGUGAAGUUGACCGCCUGGGGAGUACGGCCGCAAGGUUG